CCUACGGGAGGCUGCAGUGAGGAAUAUUGGUCAAUGGGCGCGAGCCUGAACCAGCCAAGUCGCGUGAGGGAUGACGGUCCUAUGGAUUGUAAACCUCUUUUGCCGGGGAGUAAGCGUGCGUACGUGAACGCGCGUCGAGAGUACCCGGAGAUAAAGCAUCGGCUAACUCCGUGCCAGCAGCCGCGGUAAUACGGAGGAUGCAAGCGUUUUCCGGAUUUAUUGGGUUUAAAGGGAGCGUAGAUGGGUUGUUAAGUCAGUGGUGAAAGUUUGCGGCUCAACCGUAAAAUUGCCCUUGAUACUGUCAGCCUUGAGUACAGUUGAGGUAGGCGGAAUUCGUGGUGUAGCGGUGAAAUGCUUAGAUAUCACGAAGAACUCCGAUUGCGAAGGCAGCCUACUAAGCUACCACUGACGUUGAUGCUCGAAAGUGUGGGUAGCAAACAGGAUUAGAUACCCCUGUAGUC
rnacentral:rRNA from 1 species